rnacentral:rRNA from 1 species
UGGAUUGGUGCCUUCGGGAACUUAGAUACAGGUGCUGCAUGGCUGUCGUCAGCUCGUGUCGUGAGAUGUUGGGUUAAGUCCGCAACGAGCGCAACCCUUUUCCUUAUUUGCCAGCGGGUAAUGCCGGGAACUUUAAGGAUACUGCCAGUGACAAACUGGAGGAAGGCGGGGACGACGUCAAGUCAUCAUGGCCCUUACGGCCAGGGCUACACACGUGCUACAAUGGUCGGUACAAAGGGUUGCUACCUCGCGAGAGGAUGCUAAUCUCAAAAAGCCGAUCGUAGUCCGGAUCGCAGUCUGCAACUCGACUGCGUGAAGUCGGGAUCGCUAGUAAUCGCGGAUCAGAAUGCCGCGGUGAAUACGUUCCCGGGCCUUGUACACACCGCCCGUCACACCAUGGGAGUUUGUUGCACCAGAAGUAGGUAGUCUAACCGCAAGGAGGACGCUUACCACGGUGUGGCCGAUGACUGGGGUGAAGUCGUAACAAGGUAAGCGUAGAUGA